UGGGGAAUAUUGCACAAUGGAGGAAACUCUGAUGCAGCGAUGCCGCGUGAGGGAAGAAGGUUUUAGGAUUGUAAACCUCUGUCUUCAGGGACGAAAAAAGGACGGUACCUGAGGAGGAAGCUCCGGCUAACUACGUGCCAGCAGCCGCGGUAAUACGUAGGGAGCGAGCGUUGUCCGGAAUUACUGGGUGUAAAGGGAGCGUAGGCGGGAUCGCAAGUCAGAUGUGAAAACUAUGGGCUUAACCCAUAAACUGCAUUUGAAACUGUGGUUCUUGAGUGAAGUAGAGGUAAGCGGAAUUCCUAGUGUAGCGGUGAAAUGCGUAGAUAUUAGGAGGAACAUCAGUGGCGAAGGCGGCUUACUGGGCUUUAACUGACGCUGAGGCUCGAAAGCGUGGGGAGCAAACAGGAUUAGAUACCCUGGUAGUCCACGCCGUAAACGAUGAUUACUAGGUGUGGGGGGACUGACCCCUUCCGUGCCGCAGCAAACGCAAUAAGUAAUCCACCUGGGGAGUACGACCGCAAGGUUGAAACUCAAAGGAAUUGACGGGGGCCCGCACAAGCAGUGGAGUAUGUGGAUUAAUUCGAAGCAACGCGAAGAACCUUACCAGGUCUUGACAUCGUAUGCAUAGCUCAGAGAUGAGUGAAAUCUCUUCGGAGACAUAUAGACAGGUGGUGCAUGGUUGUCGUCAGCUCGUGUCGUGAGAUGUUGGGUUAAGUCCCGCAACGAGCGCAACCCUUACUGUUAGUUGCUACGCAAGAGCACUCUAGCAGGACUGCCGUUGACAAAACGGAGGAAGGUGGGGAUGACGUCAAAUCAUCAUGCCCCUUAUGACCUGGGCCUCACACGUACUACAAUGGCUGUAAACAGAGGGAAGCAAAGCCGCGAGGUAGAGCGAACCCCUAAAAGCAGUCUUAGUUCGGAUUGUAGGCUGCAACCCGCCUACAUGAAGUCGGAAUUGCUAGUAAUCGCAGAUCAGCAUGCUGCGGUGAACACGUUCCC
rnacentral:rRNA from 1 species